rnacentral:rRNA from 1 species
GACGAACGCUGGCGGCGUGCUUAACACAUGCAAGUCGAACGGUAAGGCCCUUCGGGGUACACGAGUGGCGAACGGGUGAGUAACACGUGGGUGAUCUGCCCUGCACUUCGGGAUAAGCCUGGGAAACUGGGUCUAAUACCGGAUAGGACUCCUGGCUUCAUGGUUGGGGGUGGAAAGCUUUUGCGGUGUGGGAUGGGCCCGCGGCCUAGCAGCUUGUUGGUGGGGUAAUGGCCUACCAAGGCGACGACGGGUAGCCGGCCUGAGAGGGUGACCGGGCACACUGGGACUGAGAUACGGCCCAGACUGCUACGGGAGGCAGCAGUGGGGAAUAUUGCACAAUGGGCGCAAGCCUGAUGCAGCGACGCCGCGUGAGGGAUGACGGCCUUCGGGUUGUAAACCUCUUUCAGCACCGACGAAGCGCAAGUGACGGUAGGUGCAGAAGAAGGACCGGCCAACUACGUGCCAGCCGCCGCUGUAA